ensembl:lncRNA
CGUUACCAGGCAAGUCUGCUGGGGAUGGAAACGUUGAAGUUUCAAUCAAUAUGCAGUGAUUCACAAGAUCAGGCUACAGGAGGGAAAGGCGAGCUUGUGACAUGAGGCAGGGACCUGAGGUAGGGAAAUGAAGCUAAGAGACAGGGCUGCAAGCUGAAUGACCAUGUUCAGGUGGCAGCAUGAGGUGUUUACAUGCUAGCAGGGACCUGAGGUAGGGAAAUGAAGCUAAGAGACAGGGCUGCAAGCUGAAUGACCAUGUUCAGGUGGCAGCAUGAGGUGUUUACAUGCUAGCAGGGCCAUCAGCAAGCGUAGGCAUUUGGGCUACAGUUGUAACUGUGCCAUGAAGCAACUUCGCCUGCACCUGGAAAACCACUCAGGCCAGUCUGCAAACCACACAAAGCUGAGAUACCUCCAAAGUGCCCCUUUGUACCUCUACAGAUCUGCUGCUCUGCCUGAAUUGGAAGAACUGCAGCCACCCCGCAGGUUCAUCGCAGGGGACAAAAGUGGGUCCAGUCCCACAGAAGAGCCUCAAGAACGAUCUGGGUGACGGAACACCGCGGACCCUCACGAGGCCGCAGAGGAUCCCAAACUGGGAGGAGCGGCCGACGCAGCAGAAGGCCGUGCAGCUGUCAUGGUUUUAUGAUUUUUGGUUAUCAGUAUUCCACAUCACAACAUCAUGCAGUGUACUGGGAGUUAAAGAGCAAAUGCUUUAGUUCCGGGUACCUGUCUGGAAGAGAAGAAGAACUACGUUCCCCAAGAGCCUUUUCGAGUACUGUUAUCAUUCCUGCUCAAGGGAACAGAUAUAAGG